GUCUUGUAUCAAAGUAGCGAAGGGAUGGGAACUGUGGAUUAGCUUAGUAAAAAGGUAUUUUGGUCAGCAACACCAUUUGGGUAACAAUGCCAUUUUGAAACAGGCCAGGAAGAGUUAUAAUGAAAAUAAACAUUGUUUGGAAUGGAGGCAGCAGGCAGAGUUCAUUUUCUCUCUUUCCCUUUCAGGUAGUUCUGAACAAUAAAAGCCACCAACCAUUAAAAAAAAAAAAAACCUGAAAUGUUUAUUGCCUGCACAGAGCUUGCAAAGUGAAAAC
rnacentral:lncRNA from 1 species